GACGAACGCUGGCGGCGUGCUUAACACAUGCAAGUCGAACGAUGAAGAAGAGAAACGCGAACUUCGGUUCAAAUUUCACUUCGGAUUAGUGGCAGACGGGUGAGUAACGCGUGAGCAACCUACCUCUUACAAAGGGAUAGCCUCGGGAAACCGUGAUUAAUACCAUAUGACACAUUCAUAAGGCAUCUUAAGAAUGUUAAAGCUACGGCGGUAAGAGAUGGGCUCGCGUCCCAUUAGCUAGUUCGUGAGGUAACGGCCCACCAAGGCGACGAUGGGUAACCGGCCUGAGAGGGUGAACGGUCACAUUGGAACUGAGACACGGUCCAAACUCCUACGGGAGGCAGCAGUAGGGAAUAGUGCACAAUGGAGGGGACUCUGAUGCAGCGACGCCGCGUGAGAGAUGAAGGAAUUCGUUGCGUAAAGCUCUGUUCUAUGGGAAGAAAAGGACCGUACCAUAGGAGAAAGCCCCGGCUAAAUACGUG
rnacentral:rRNA from 1 species